UUUUUUUUUUUCUUUAGUUAAUUUUUUUUUAAAUUGCUUAUUGACCUCUUUUUAAAUUUUUAGAAGCUUUAGAUGACGAUUUGAUGUUUAUGGUGCAACCACAACAAAAUGCUCAACAACAACCACAUUCUGGUAAGAAGGAAACCUUUUGUUUCAAUUUAUUUAUAUCUUUUUUUUUAAAAUUUC
rnacentral:lncRNA from 1 species